CUUUGACCAGAGAUAUGAAGAAUUUUUCUCGACUUCGCGGAGUCGAUAAAUAAUAUACAUAAGCUUACCAGCAUUUUCGAAGACAGUAACUUGGGCUCUAACAGACAGAGGACGAACGGAGGAUGGAUUCGUAGUGAGUUCCGUGAUUCUAACGAAAAGAUCAUGGACACACAUCGAAUUGCUCGCAACGCCUCGAAGAUCUCAAGAAGUCGACCUUUCCUGUCGCAUACCAAUCGGCACGCAGCAGAUACGGCAAGGUGUAUCUAUGCUAACUGUGUGCGUCCAUGUGCGUGUGUGUAAACACAAAUGGAAGAGGGAAAAAAAAAAAAUAACGUGUUCCGAGAGACACGCGACAGUGCCGGCUAAAGCAUCUGUAGUCUCGUUUGGAAUGCGAUAUGAUCGUCGAGCGUCGUCUCGUCGAGCCUCGAGGAUAACGAAUAUAUUUAUCGUGACGGCCGACAAUCGAUUAAUUACGCGGACCUUCGGAGAUCUUGCGUGUCAAAGCUUCUUUCGUCGUAUAGGCGAGCGUAAAAGUCGUAAAUUUGAGGUUAUCGGAUUAGAUGGCUUCUCUUUCGAUCUUCUACGUCACGCACGCCCUCUGCAACUAAAUAUGGAGGAGAAAACUGAGAAGUAGCGCGCGAAUAAAUUUGAAUGAAUGAAGUUAAGGAGAAAAAAGACGAAGGCGAAAAGUAAAAAAAGGUAGACGAGGACGAAACGAAAAAAAAGAAAAGGUAAAAUUAUAAAUAUGAAAUGAACGAAAUACUCCCAACGAUCAAGUAAUCAAUCGAUAAUAUUAAUAUACUUUCUAUAAAAUUGUGAUGAUACAUACGAAUUGAGACGUAUAAUAUAUGUUUUAUCAAUUAAAUCCUCUCGUAAUUGAAAAAGAACGUUAGAGGUUAGGAUAUCUAUGGAUUUUUGUUAGUAACGAAUAAUGUGUGCGUUCGAGGGAAUGGAAGAAGAGAAUAAGAGAAACAAAGAUAGAAAGAAAGAAAGGAAAAGAGAGAAAGCAAAGCACGCGUUCUCAUCGAUCUUAUCCCAUUCGAACGUAUAUCGAGAACAAAGGACGAUUGUGGACGAGGCUUUAAGGAUAUCGACGAGGAGAGAAAGAGACUCGGGCGGAGUAGUAGCAUUGAAGAGAAUAAGUGAGUGACUGACUGAGUGAAAGAGAGAGAGAGAGAGAGAGAGAGAGAGAGAGUGAGAGAGAGGACGAAACGCAAAGCGUCGCGCGAGUGCCAAUGUGUUUUCCCAGUUGGGUCAAACACCCUGAAGCUCUCUCAGAUAAGGUUCCCAACCUUGGCACGGCCAAGCAAAGUAGUAACUGCGUAACCGUAGGUGCCGCACUUACGACACGGCGUGUUGUUGCGGCCGUCGGCGAGUCGGCCGUUCGCAGCACACGACUACGCAAGAAUCGUGCGUGCUGCGAGCCAUUAAAACGCGUCUCUCUCUCUCUCUCUCUCUCUUUUAAACGUAUCGGAUAAAAAGAGAGAGAGAGAGAGAGUACAAGUUGACGAUGUCUUCUCUCCUCAAACUUAAAUCACUCUUACCCCCGCCUAACUCCCUCCUUUCCACUCUCUCUCUCUCUCUUUCUCACUCUCCUUUUCUUUGAUUCAAUCAAACAAACGAAUAGAGAAAUAUUAAUGAAAGCGAUAUUAAAAUUGGCGCCGCCAUUUGGAUAAUUAUUCAAGUUUCUUAAGAAGCGCUUAAUGAUAAAACGUUUGUAAAAGAAUUCUAACCUCCUUGUACCACCCACGAAGCGUAUUCUAUCGACCGAAGGCAUCGUUAAUUACUGUGGCAGGUAAUAAACACGCUUAGACGUGACACGAGCUAAAAGAGAGAGAGAGAGAGAGAGAGAGAGAGGAGAGAGAGAGAGGAGAGAGAGAGAGAGAGAGAGAGAGAGAGAGAGAGAGAGAGAGAGAGAGAGAGAGAAAGAGGAAUCGUGUCCGCGCGCGCGUACUAGCGGGCGCACGCGGGAAAUGCAACGGAGCCGGCUACUAUUAUACAGGUAAAGGUGGAAAAGGCAGUGGCCGGUGCAGCAUCGCGUAUAUAUGUUAAUAUAUAUAUAUACUAUGUAUAUAUAAUUAUGUAUACAUAUAUAUAUAACACAUUCAUAUAUAUAUAUAUAUCAUACACAAUACAUAUAAUAUUAUACGAUUAAUGAUAUAUAUAUAUAUAUACAUGCAUGUUUGUAUAUAUCCACAUAUAUACGAUAUAUGUAUACAUACAUAUGUAUCGUUGUUCAGACGUGACCCUUGUCCUUCAAACGGCCUUUCUACGAGCGUACGGCAGCUCGACUGGGUGUAGGUACGCCAUACGUGUCGCAUACCUAACGAACGCGCGUACCAUGCGACGAGAAAGCCGGCCACCGACGCACCCGUCGUUGACGACGACGACGACGUCGCCGUCGUUUCAACGUAUACUACGUUUAUUCUAUAUUACAUAGGUACGUUGUACACCUACGUACGUAUACAUGUAUGUAUGCGAUGAUCGCCCGAGCGCAACGACCGGCUGCCGGUUCGACAUAACCUACGAUUCUUCUAUACCAGUAACGUAAUCACCGAACCACGAACCACGUCCCCUUUUAUCUUUCUCAAGAAAUAUUUAUUUUAAUGGGAAAAUGUCUAUCGGAAAAUUUUCUUUCUUUUUUUCUUUUUUCCUUUUCUUUUUUUUUCUCUCUCUUUUUUCUUUUUUUUUUUACAAUCGAACGAACGGUUUACAUCGUGCGAUUCUCUUAAUCGUUGCUCGUAUAAUUAUUGUAGAUAUAGGUAUACGACGAGAGGACACAAGCGAUUGACGGAUCGAAAUCGGAUAUAAAGGAAAAAUAUACGAGAGGGAUCUCGAGUUAUGCGAACAGUGGGUACACAUAUAUCCGGACAGUCGGUCCAUCGGUGAGAGUACGCGACGAUUAAAAAUACGCAACGCGCAGCACGCGCCUGAAUAGCGUGGUGCCGGCAAACGACGUAUGCGCACACGCUUGGGUAUGCGUGCGUAUGUAUACGCGUGUGAUCGUGCGUGCGUGCGUAUGUGUAUCUCUCGUUAAAUAGACGAGUGUUCAGCGAUACGAGUAUACCGAAGACGACGAAGACGAAAACGAAGACGACGGAGUUUAGAGGAACGUUGUUUGCCCGUGAUAAGAGGACAAACCGUACUCGGCUAGUGGCGCCUGUAUCGUAGCCAGUGACGGAUCGGGUGAGCUUGAGGCACGGUGCCACGCGUGCCAUCGAGCUCCAAAAAUUGAUUGCCAUCCCACUAUGUGUUGCGCUUUCGAUUCCUCGCGUAACUUCAUUGCAACGUGUGUGGUCCUCGAUUACUAACUCGACGGCCCAAUGAACCGGGACGUAGUAGGCCGUCCCUGUCAGAAUGACCAAUCAUCGUCGAAGAAGUUUCAACCUGUUUAUCUCUCCAAAAAACGGCGUAGAAUUCUACUAUUCCUUCUCGUCAAACAAGCUUCCAGCGGAAGUUUCGAGGAAUGGUUUCGUCGUGCAGCUGCGACGGCCCUGCAUAAUCGACAACGACAACGACGACGGCUACGACGAUGGCUACGACGACGAUGACGACGAUGACGACGAAGACGACGACGAAGAGGAUGAGGACGAGGACGAGGAGAAGAAAGACGAAAGGUGGGAGAAGUAUGAUGGGACAGGUGCGGCUCGUAACUUCCUGGAUGAUAUCGGCCGGUCCGGACGCACGGCCGGCGCUAAGGCUGACGCUUACGUUAACGCUGGCGCCACUUGGAUUCCCGCCGUAGGCGCCUGUCCGACGAAACCUCUUUCCCCUACCUCUCUCUCUCCUCUUCCUCUAGUAUCUCGUGUACCACCCUCCUUCCUUCCUACCUCUCUCUUUCUCUCGCUUUAUCUCUCUUUUCCCCCCCGUACAUACCGCACAUUAGCCCGCCGUAAUUCCUCGAGCGAACUCAGUGCCACCUUACGACGAAACGAAUUUGUGAAUUAAUCCUUAUCCCUUUCCCGCCAUCUUAUGAUAAUGAUGAUCGGUCUAGGUCGGUAAGAUUAAGACAACUAAUAUUUUGAUAAUCAAUUGUAAUCCUUUACUAAAUAAUAAUCAUAAUAUUUCGUUCUUUAUGAAAACGCAUGCAUACGCAAGCUACCAUCAA